AACGAACGCUGGCGGCAGGCUUAACACAUGCAAGUCGAGCGCCCCGCAAGGGGAGCGGCAGACGGGUGAGUAACGCGUGGGAAUCUACCCAUCUCUACGGAAUAACGCAUGGAAACGUGUGCUAAUACCGUAUACGUCCUUCGGGAGAAAGAUUUAUCGGAGAUGGGUGAGCCCGCGUUGGAUUAGCUAGUUGGUGGGGUAAAGGCCUACCAAGGCGACGAUCCAGAGCGGGUCUGAGAGGAUGAUCAGCCACACUGGGACUGAGACACGGCCCAGACUCCUACAGGAGGAAGCAGUGGGGAAUAUUGGACAAUGGGCGCAAGCCUGAUCCAGCCAUGCCGCGUGAGUGAUGAAGGCCCUAGGGUUGUAAAGCUCUUUCACCGGUGAAGAUAAUGACGGUAACCGGAGAAGAAGCCCCGGCUAACUUCGUGCCAGCCGCCGCCGUAACAC
rnacentral:rRNA from 1 species